GACCACUGUAGUGAUCGCAGUACUGGAUUCAGCUUCUGAAUGGUUUCCAUGGUGUCUUGAAGUAACAGAUAUCCACCAGGUCUCAGUAUGCGAUCCAUUUCCACAGCUACAUCUAUAAUGUUACAUCUGACAGACAGAGAAAACUGGAAUGCAGCAGAUCAUAUGUUCGAGGGUACGUACUCAAUGACUCGCACCAGUCAUGAUAGAUUCCGAUCAAGCCCCUUUCGAAAAUAAUGGACAAGGUAUCUUGUGCAUCAAUUGGUACAACAUUCAUCACCCAGAGAGGAAGCUCAUUAAGUGCCGCCGCAAACCUGUAAAACCACAAUGCCUAUGGUGUAGUAAGAUUUCUUUAUGACAGAAACCUGUAAAAACAUAGUUCUAUUUCUUACCCUCCAUAACCAGCAUUCAUAUCCAUCACAUUUCUUAAACUAGCCCAGUUUAUAGCUAGAGCAUCAAAAUAGACAUCAGAUACAAGUGCAGCCCAAUGUUUGGUGUCCUCAUUGAAUAUAGCUUCGGCAUCUGCUUCAGCUGGAAGGCUUUGAGGCUUAUUCCUAAGCCUGUGGGGCCAUGGUGAGGGCCAGCCAAGCAAAUUACCGUUGCUAUCAACUGGAAGUCUGGAAGUACAAUGCCUAAGAGGCUUGUACCUGUCAUUGUGAAUUAGAAAUCUCAAGAAGCAAUUUCAACAUAAAUAGAAGGUAGCAUCUUUUAUGCCAACAUUAUUUUAGGACAGAACACUCUGUCUACACAUAACAAGUGGCACACAGAGCUGUGAACAUGUUGAAGCAUGCCUUUCGAGUGUAAGCAAUGUAAUAAUAUUAUAUACUAGAUCAUAAAAGAUUACCAUGAGA